GCACCUUCCUGGUACAUGGAUCAUUCCUUCGUCCAGCGUAUCCAUGCUGUAUAUGCUACCCACUCAUUAGUCACUUAGCAGC